GUACGCCGGCCGCGCCCCUCCAACAGGAACUGCAGCUGCCGCUUCCUUUAGAGGAGUGAAAAAUGAGAUGCAGAGAAGCCAGGGAGUUAAAGUGGUGGAGACGGUAGAUGACGAAGGAGCGCCACAGGGCGAGGCCCACCACUGGGUUACCCUGCGGGUGGAUGGUCAGCUGGUCCAGACGGCGAACCUGAGCCAGUGCAGCCAACUGCAGCAGACGGCUGAUGUUGGUUUCCAGGAAAAUAAGAUGCUACAUAAACAAACAAACAAAAAUUCAAACAUGUUGCAUAUUCAGGGUUGCAUAAUUCUUGUGCCUGUAAUCCUCUGUCCUCACCGCCAGAUUGGGAAACUUGACCCUGAUCCUGGGCAGCAUUGGUACAAUGGCGUCAAAAUGGAUGUAACGGAAGGCGAUGACGGUGACGGCGCUGGCCGUCUGUGCCCCCCAUCCUCUCUCCAGCACGUCCAGGGCGCCCAGGCCGAACAAGCGCAGGGUGUCACCGUCCAGCUCGGCCAGAUGAUUGUCGGACAGCGACAGGCUCGUAACGCUUCCUGCUUCGAUUUGGACAAUGUGCUGCAGGGGAUCUGACACAAGCCAGCCGGCCAUCAUCAUCAUCAUCAUCAUCACUGGAUUAUCGGUCUACAUUUUCAGUCUGGGAUCAGCCCAGCUGUUGGAGAGCCAAUACUCCCAGAAUGCAAUGCUGCUAAGCUGUGACAGUCUGUGACAGCCUGAGAUGACACGACACUCUUUUUUGGAUGCAUUGUGUCAAGAGGGUGGAUCUCUGUCAGUUAAGUGAGAUUAAUGUAUGAAGCUGUAAUUCCCUCCCCCCUCCACCCCACCCUACAAUU